rnacentral:rRNA from 1 species
UGUGGUUCAUGACUGGGGUGAAGUCGUAACAAGGUAGCCCUAGGGGAACCUGGGGCUGGAUCACCUCCUUAUACGAAGAUACC